GGCCUCAAACCGAGCCUCAACCGGAUUCCAACACACUCUCUCACCCACUCGACUUGCCUGGUUGCGUCUUGUCUCACACGUUUUCUUCAUCGUCGAUUACUGGACUGCCACAGAGAGAGCCGAGCGACCUCCCAACUAAGUUUCCGGCCCCUGCUUUGGUUUCAGAGAACUCGAUUUUUCACUCCACGAUUUUCUUUUCGAGCUUCGUCCUCACUCUACUACCAGUUCUUUAUUUCGAUUUCCUAAGUCUAUCAUCUCUAACGCCCGAAAAUGCCUCUCAGGCUGGACAUCAAGAGAAAGUUUAUACAAAGAACUGAAAGAGUAAAAUCAGUGGAUUUGCAUCCAACUGAACCAUGGCUUCUUGCAAGUUUGUAUUCAGGAACUGUGUACAUUUGGAACUACCAAUCACAGACCAUGGUAACAUCUUUUGAAGUUUCUGAGCUCCCAGUUAGGUCAGCUAAAUUUAUAGCACGCAAGCAGUGGAUAGUUGCUGGAGCUGAUGACAUGUCUAUUCGCGUAUACAAUUACAAUACAAUGGACAAGGUUAAGCUUUUUGAAGCACAUGCAGACUAUAUUAGAUGUGUGGCUGUCCACCCAACACUUCCAUAUGUUCUAUCAUCAUCUGAUGACAUGCUUAUCAAACUCUGGGAUUGGGAGAGAGGGUGGAUGUGUAAUCAAAUAUUUGAGGGGCAUAAUCACUAUGUAAUGCAAAUUACUUUUAAUCCUAAAGACACUAAUACAUUUGCAAGUGCCUCCCUAGAUCGCACAAUUAAGGUCUGGAACCUUGGUUCGCCUGAGCCAAAUUUUACCUUGGAAGGCCACUUGAAAGGAGUAAAUUGCGUUGAUUACUUCACUGGUGGUGAUAAGCCAUUUCUAAUUAGUGGUUCUGAUGAUCAAACUGCCAAGGUAUGGGACUAUCAAACUAAAAGUUGUGUUCAGACACUUGAAGGACACACUCACAAUAUUUCUGCAGUUUGUUUUCAUCCUGAACUUCCAAUAAUAAUGACUGGUUCUGAGGAUGGAACUGUUCGAAUAUGGCAUGCAACCACUUACAGGCUUGAGAACACGCUGAAUUAUGGGCUUGAACGAGUUUGGGCUAUUGGUUAUAUGAAAGGCUCACGACGGAUUGUAUUUGGGUACGAUGAGGGAGCAAUCAUGGUUAAAAUUGGUCGAGAAGAACCAGUUGCCAGCAUGGACAAUGGGGGAAAAAUAAUUUGGGCCAAGCAUAAUGAAGUUCAAAUUGUGAAUAUCAAAAGUGUUGGGAAUACUGAGGUUGCAGAUGGAGAACGAUUGCCUUUGGCUGUCAAGGAGUUGGGAACAUGUGAUCUUUAUCCUCAAAGCUUAAAACACAAUCCCAAUGGGAGGUUUGUUGUUGUUUGUGGAGAUGGCGAGUACAUUAUAUAUACAGCCUUAGCUUGGAGAAAUAGAUCCUUUGGCUCAGCACUGGAAUUUGCCUGGUCAUCAGAAGGAGAAUAUGCAGUUAGAGAAAGUACAACAAGGAUCAAAUUAUUUAGCAAGACAUUCCAGGAGAAGAAAAGUAUUCGACCUACAUUCUUAUGUGAACACGUGUACGGGGGAACGUUACUAGCAAUGUGCUCUAAUGACUUCAUCUGCUUUUAUGACUGGAUUGAAUGCAGAUUGAUCAGGCGGAUUGAUGUUAAUGUGAAAAAUGUUUAUUGGGCUGAUAGUGGUGAUUUGGUGGCAAUAGUUAGUGAUUCAUCAUUCUACGUACUAAAAUACAAUCGAGAUGUUGUAUCAUCAUAUUUUGAUAGUGGAAGUUCAGUUGAUGAACAAGGUGUUGAGGAUGCUUUUGAGCUUCUUCAUGAAGUAAAUGAUCGUGCCAGAACAGGAAUUUGGGUUGGCGAUUGUUUCAUCUACACUAACUCUUCUUGGCGACUUAAUUACUGUGUCGGCGGAGAGGUGACAACUUUGUUCCACCUGGACCGACCUAUGUACUUGUUAGGUUAUCUGGCCAAUCAAAGUCGAGUUUAUCUUAUUGAUAAAGACUUCAAUGUCAUGGGAUACACUUUACUUCUCAGCUUGAUUGAAUACAAAACUCUUGUGAUGCGUGGAGAUCUAGAUCGCGCAAAUCAAAUUUUACCAACUAUUCCUCCAGAACAAUUCAAUAGUGUUGCUCGUUUUUUGGAAUCUCGAGGGAUGUUGGAAGAUGCACUAGAAGUGGCUACAGAUCCUGAUUACAAAUUUGAUCUGGCUAUACAGCUUGGGAGACUUGAGAUUGCAAAGGAAAUUGCUACCAAAGCCCAAAGUGAAUCCAAGUGGAAGCAGCUGGGAGAAUUAGCUAUGUCCAGUGGGCAGUUUGAAUUGGCUGAAACUUGUCUAUUGCAUGGAAUGGAUUUGAGUGGGUUGUUGCUUUUCUACUCUUCUAUUGGAGAUGCUCAAGGUAUACUAAAACUUGUUUCCCUUGCCAAAGAGCAAGGAAAGAACAAUGUGGCAUUCCUUUGUUUAUUCAUGCUGGGAAAAUUGGAAGAGUGCAUCCAACUGCUGAUAGACAGUAACCGAAUACCAGAAGCUGCUUUAAUGGCAAGAUCUUACCUUCCAAGCAAGGUGUCAGAGAUAGUCACAAUUUGGAGAGAUGACCUAAACAAGGUCAAUAAGAAAGCUGCUGAGUCAUUAGCUGAUCCUGAAGAAUACCCUAAUUUGUUUGACGACUGGGAAGUUUCUCUUUCCCUUGAAGCAGAAACUGGAAAAAAUAGUCUUCAUUUAUUUGUUCGUGAUAGUGGAUUGCCAUGGAUACAAUUUCCAGGUGCAAUUAUCCUCCUGCUGAACUGUACCCGAUCUAUGCUCAAAAAUCAACCACCAACCUCCUUGAGAAUUUUAAGAGCAUGCAAAUUGAUGAAAACAAAGAUCCAACUGAAAAUGGACAACAUGUUCAUGAGGAGAUUGCGGGGAAUGAGGAAAAUCAUGGGCAAGAAGCUGUCGUUGAAGAGGAUUCUAGUUCCUCAAAUGGUGUUGUUUUUGUGAGUAAGGCGGAUGAAGAAGAAUUGGGAGCACAGGAUGCGAACACUUCACCAGUAAAUUUGGAAGUUAAAGAUGAGAGCACUUUACCAGAAGAAUUGGAAGCAAAGGAUGAAAACACCUCGCCAUCCUAAGGUGAUGUUUCGCCAAAAGUAUGAAGUGUUUAGGAUAAAUUACCAGUUCAACAGGACAAGCUAUAGCUCCAGCUAUUAUACGCCUACCUUCUGAGUCGACUCGUAACUUCUUUUUUUGCACACCAAUGAAAGCUUCUCAAAUAUCUUUAUAUAGCAGUAGUUUUCGCGUGACCCUAUACACUUUUACAGAUGAGAAAAAGAAAAAAAAAAAUUGCUUGGAGUGUAUACAUCUAUGAAAAAGUGUGGCAAUAAAUCCUUAAAAGGAUUUCUUUUUUUAAUCGAACUCCACCAUACACCAUUAUAUUAGGUUGGCAUAUAAAGAGUCGAUAAAAGACCUUCGAAGGUACCACUGAUGCUUCCAAUAGCCUGUUGAUUUUGUAGGUAAACAAAAUCUCGAUAACUUAGUACAGUAUUACUUUACCGUUGGAAUUGCAAACUUCUUUAAUGUGAUAUACAAUUUCAUAUAAUAUGUAGUUAGGAGGAUUAGGGAUAUAAAUAUAUUUAUUUAUACUAUUGGGUUUGUUAGAAUGACAACCAGUUCAUCUCUCAUUAUACAUCUGAUACCUUUAUUUUCUAC